rnacentral:rRNA from 1 species
UACGAAGGGUGCAAGCGUUACUCGGAAUUACUGGGCGUAAAGCGUGCGUAGGCGGUUUGUUAAGUCCGUUGUGAAAGCCCUGGGCUCAACCUGGGAAUUGCAGUGGAUACUGGCGAGCUAGAGUGCGGUAGAGGAUGGUGGAAUUCCCGGUGUAGCGGUGAAAUGCGUAGAGAUCGGGAGGAACACCCGUGGCGAAGGCGGCCAGUCUGGACCAGCACUGACGCUGAGGCACGAAAGCGUGGGGAGCAAACAGG